rnacentral:lncRNA from 1 species
GUGCGGGCUUAGCAUGUGACCUCAUUGCCUCUCACGAAAAUGGGUAUAACUUCUUGUUCAGGUAUUGGAUUAAGGUAAAAUUUGUAUCCUUGAAAAUAUGACUCAAUUAUCAACAAUUUGGUGGGUCUUGAGAUGAAAAUUCCACGUACAUCAAAUGUUAUUCACGUUCAAAGUAGACCCUUAUAUAAUCAAAUACCAAACUUGGACAAAUCAAAGGCUCUUAGCUCAACUUUGUUCUAAGUAAUUCUUAUGAACAUAUUUCAC